UACAGAGGUCCCAAGCGUUGUUCGGAUUCAUUGGGCGUAAAGGGUGUGUAGGUGGCGCCGUAAGUCGGGUGUGAAAUUUCGGAGCUUAACUCCGAAACUGCAUUCGAUACUGCGGUGCUUUGAGGACUGGAGAGGAGACUGGAAUUCAUGGUGUAGCAGUGAAAUGCGUAGAGAUCAUGAGGAAGACCAGUGGCGAAGGCGGGUCUCUGGACAGUUCCUGACACUGAGACACGAAGGCCAGGGGAGCAAACGGG
rnacentral:rRNA from 1 species